AGAGUUUGAUCCUGGCUCAGAUUGAACGCUGGCGGAAUGCUUUACACAUGCAAGUCGAGCGGCAGCGCGGUCUUCGGACUGGCGGCGAGCGGCGAACGGGUGAGUAAUACAUCGGAACAUGCCCAGUCGUGGGGGAUAACACUUCGAAAGAAGUGCUAAUACCGCAUACGUCCUGAGGGAGAAAGCGGGGGAUCGCAAGACCUCGCGCGAUUGGAGUGGCCGAUGUCAGAUUAGCUAGUUGGUGGGGUAAAGGCCUACCAAGGCAACGAUCUGUAGCUGGUCUGAGAGGAUGAUCAGCCACACUGGGACUGAGACACGGCCCAGACUCCUACGGGAGGCAGCAGUGGGGAAUUUUGGACAAUGGGGGCAACCCUGAUCCAGCCAUUCCGCGUGAGUGAAGAAGGCCUUCGGGUUGUAAAGCUCUUUCGGCAGGAACGAAACGGCGAGCUCUAACAUAGCUCGCUAAUGACGGUACCUGAAGAAGAAGCACCGGCUAACUACGUGCCAGCAGCCGCGGUAAUACGUAGGGUGCGAGCGUUAAUCGGAAUUACUGGGCGUAAAGCGUGCGCAGGCGGUUGUGUAAGACAGGUGUGAAAUCCCCGGGCUUAACCUGGGAACUGCGCUUGUGACUGCACGGCUAGAGUAUGGCAGAGGGGGGUGGAAUUCCACGUGUAGCAGUGAAAUGCGUAGAGAUGUGGAGGAACACCGAUGGCGAAGG
rnacentral:rRNA from 1 species